AGCUCCAUACUGUAAUAAAACUAUUACUAUAUUUUGUUACAGACAAACACAUACAUAUUCAGAACUGUCACUAUCCCAACAACUAAAAGACAGACAUAAUUACGAAACUCCAAUCCACAGUAGAAACUUGUCAAAUAAUGAAGUGACUGAUAAAACUGCAAACUACAUGAAUGUAAAAGACAUAGAUCUA
rnacentral:sRNA from 1 species